UACGUAGGGUGCGAGCGUUGUCCGGAAUUAUUGGGCGUAAAGAGCUCGUAGGCGGUGUGUCACGUCGGCCGUGAAAACCUGCAGCUUAACUGUGGGCGUGCGGUCGAUACGGGCAUCACUGGAGUUCGGCAGGGGAGACUGGAAUUCCUGGUGUAGCGGUGAAAUGCGCAGAUAUCAGGAGGAACACCAGUGGCGAAGGCGAGUCCCUGGACAGAUCCUGACGCUGAGGCACGAAAGCUAGGGGAGCAAACAGG
rnacentral:rRNA from 1 species